GACAGAGGGUGCAAACGUUGUUCGGAAUUACUGGGCGUAAAGCGCGUGUAGGCGGUCGGCAAGUCGGAUGUGAAAGCCCUGGGCUCAACCUAGGAAGUGCAUUCGAAACUGCAGAGCUUGAGUUCUGGAGAGGAAGGCGGAAUUCUCGGUGUAGAGGUGAAAUUCGUAGAUAUCGGGAGGAACACCGGUGGCGAAGGCGGCGACCUGGGUCGACACUGACGCUGAGGCGCGAAAGCGUGGGGAGCAAACAGG
rnacentral:rRNA from 1 species